rnacentral:rRNA from 1 species
UAAAGCGCACGCAGGCGGUCUGUUAAGUCAGAUGUGAAAUCCCCGGGCUCAACCUGGGAACUGCAUCUGAUACUGGCAGGCUUGAGUCUCGUAGAGGGGGGUAGAAUUCCAGGUGUAGCGGUGAAAUGCGUAGAGAUCUGGAGGAAUACCGGUGGCGAAGGCGGCCCCCUGGACGAAGACUGACGCUCAGGUGCGAAAGCGUGGGGAGCAAACAGGAUUAGAUACCCUGGUAGUCCACGCCGUAAACGAUGUCGACUUGGAGGUUGUGCCCUUGAGGCGUGGCUUCCGGAGCUAACGCGUUAAGUCGACCGCCUGGGGAGUACGGCCGCAAGGUUAAAACUCAAAUGAAUUGACGGGGGCCCGCACAAGCGGUGGAGCAUGUGGUUUAAUUCGAUGCAACGCGAAGAACC